CCCCCUUGCUUGCCGCUCCGCUCCUCGCUCUGCUCCGCGGCCCCCAUCGCGGCUUCUUCUUCUUCUCGUGCCACUCUUCCACCGCCGAGUCGCGAGGGCGGAUGGGGUUGGGGUCGGGGGCGGUGGAGAGGCUCCCAGGUUCCAUCAUGCGCUGUGGAAGAUGGUGGAGGAUGCAAGAGAUUGGGGGGGGGGGAUGUGACGGUGGGGAGGGAGGUGGAGGGGGGGGGGCGGUUGUGGUUCGGCCACACGGACAUGAGAGAGAGAGAGGGGGGGUGACAGCGAUGAAGACCUGCAGCGGAUGGCGGCGAUGAUGCUAGCGGGGAUUGCAGAGAAGGGAUGGCUCUGCACGGAAGAUAAAAGAUGCGUGGACAUUGUGAGUUUUGCUGCUGGUGGUGGGGGGGGGGAGAUUCUAUCUCGUCGCGAGGCAGACAAACAGCGACAGCAAGCCUCCUCCACCACCACCGCCGCCACGUUCUCCACGACUCCGCGCGCCUCUCGGCAGCGAGCGCUCCCCACCCCCUCCUCCCCACACGUCCCGACCGUCCGAUCGAGCGGCCGUCCGUGGGAUGAUUUUUUCCUCCCAUUGUAAAACAUUUUUCUAAAAUUUGUGCCGGAUUUAUAUUAGUACCAAUUUGGUGGGGGGGGGGCGGUUGUGUAUACCCAUUUAUAAAACUGGAUAAUGUUAGAAACGAGAAGAUUCGUCGCCCAUUUCGUACGAGCCGUAUAGAUGCGUAUUUGCAAGAGGCGGUCCGCUUGUACGUCUAUAUUCUGUUGUGGAUUACGGGAUGGAGUGGCCGCUCAGCCAUUGUGGGGGGGGGGGGGCGGAGGUGGCCUGCGAUUAGAACAGUUUUCGGGGGGGGGGGUGGUGUGUAGAGUGAGUUUGGUGGCAUGGCAGGAUGAGAUGAGGUAUAGUUACAGCGUCGAAGAAGAGAUUGGGUGUGCAUUUCUAGGAUGUCCAAACCAAAGCAUUGGAACACCCCCCCCCCCCGCGCCAUUAAAACAGACACACGCACACACUAAAAGCUCAAGACGCCGCUCUCAAGCCCUGGGAUUUUUAGACUUGAAGAGGCUCUCUCCACGCUUGGCAUCGGAGAUGGUCACCCCGAGAGGCUCUGCCGUGGAUGCUCUCCACAACCCGAGAUGGACUCCGCUUGGAACUGGCCUGGACUCCGGCAGCAGCGAAUCCAACACGAUGGCGCUUCGGCUCCACUGCACGAGCUCCUGUUUUACCAUCGAGCGCUGCUUCCCUCUGACUCUGUCCUCGCUUCCCUGUGCCGGACGGGGGGGGGGGAUGGGGCAGGGGGGUGGAGGGGGUAGGAGGAGGAGGGGGGUGGUGUGCCCUUCCUUUAAUGGCCUUUCCUGCCCAGAGGUUCCUGGAGGCCUGGAGCAGGAGGCUCUGGGCCGAUUACCACGUGUGGCCUGUUUACUCGUCAGCGACAGAAACACAGGCACCGCUUGUGCGGCUUACGUAAUGUGCUGUUUAUAAACUUAAAAAAUGCGCAGGUAAGUAUAAUUUGGUCAUUUCGUCGUCUUGUUUUUUCCUCUAGUCGGGCCAGGACACACUGGCCCCGAAUGACCAUCCACUGUUGGAUGUCAUGAUGCGUUGGGGUGGAGUGGUGGCAAAAUGGGUAGCACACUGCGCUCUGGUUUCUGGCCAUGGGAGACAUCGGUGGCGAUUGAUAUCCGAGGCCAGUCAUGGGUACCACCACCAACCGGCACCUACCAGUGCGAUCAAAUACUCCCUUUACUGGUGCGGCGUUGGGAGGCCGUCAUCCAGCAGUGGAUUGACGGAGGGCUUCGUAUCACCGCGACAGCCAAUGACGUGCGACAUGUUAAACAUUUUAGGCUUGAAUCGAUUCGUGAAAGUUCAUAUAAUUAGGGGGUUUUGCAGUUUUAUAGACAAAGCAACACGCUCAUGAAUGAAACUGGCCAAAAUUUCCAAUACCGGGGCCCCUCCAGCAAAGAGUUUUGAGAUUCGCUGAGACUUUCCUGGGUAAGUAAUUGCCAAUCAUCCAUUAAUAUAUUGAUAACGUUUCUUGGUGUUACACUUUAAUACGUUCGUGCAAUAUCUUUGAUUUUUGUUUGCAAUAUGUUUCAUGUUUUGGUGCAAUAAAAGCAUAAUUUUUCAACCUA